rnacentral:lncRNA from 1 species
ACCCCCACUUUGGGUAACCGUGAGUUGGGGUGGGGUCUUGGCCUUGCCCGCAGCUGGCGUCCGUAUGUCGUUAGAGCACUGGGAAAGGGGGCGGGCUGCUGGCUGGGAGGGGUCGGCGCGGUUUCUGGCGCGCCACCGGAAGGGCGUUAUCCUGGGGGAACUGAGAGUGGAAACUUUCCUCCCGGGAAAGGAAGAAACCCGACUGGAGAAAGGGUAUGGAACAGGCUGACAGAGCUGGAUCCAAAGGGCUCAGAAUGGAGCAACCAAGGUGUAUUCACCUGAUGCUUUGGUCUCCCUAAGCUCUUCCAUAGAAACGAUCAUAUAUCACCUCGGCAAUUGUUUUACGAUUUCUCACUGUGUUUCUCAGAAUGGUCUCAGACUCCUGGCCUCAAGCGAUCCUUCUGCCUGAGCCUCCCAAAGUGCCGGGAUUACAGGCAUGAACCACUGCACUCAGCCUGUUUUCAACCUUAUAUAAAUGGAAUCCUACUGUAUGUGCUUUUUGAUAUCUGGGCUCCUUUGCUCUAUAUUAUGUCUGUGAGAUUAAUAAACUUGUUUGUUCAGUUACGUUACUGCUGUGUAGCAUUCUAUUGUAU